rnacentral:rRNA from 1 species
UACGAAGGGUGCAAGCGUUACUCGGAAUUACUGGGCGUAAGGCGUGCGUAGGUGGUUUGUUAAGUCUGUUGUGAAAGCCCCGGGCUCAACCUGGGAAUGGCAAUGGAUACUGGCAGGCUAGAGUGCGGUAGAGGGUAGUGGAAUUCCCGGUGUAGCGGUGAAAUGCGUAGAGAUCGGGAGGAACACCAGUGGCGAAGGCGGCUACCUGGACCAGCACUGACACUGAGGCACGAAAGCGUGGGGAGCAAACAGG